rnacentral:SRP_RNA from 1 species
GCCGGGCGUGGUGGCUCACGCCUGUAAUCCCAGCACUUUGGGAGGCUGAGGUGGGCGGAUCACCUGAGGUCAGGAGUUCAAGACCGUCCUGGCCAACAUGGUGAAACCCCAUCUUUA